CAGGUAUCCCACCGGACCAGCAGAGGUUGAUCUAAGCCGGAAAGCAGCUUGAGGAUGGCCGUACUCUAUCUGACUACAAUAUUCAGAAAGAGUUAACCUUGCAUCUGGUUCUGAGGCUUCGUGGUGGCAUUAUCGAGCCUUCUUUGAUGGCAUAGGCUAGGAAAUACAAUCAGGACAAGAUGAUCUGCAGCAAGUGUUAUGCUCGUCUCACU